GGUUAAGCGACUAAGCGUACACGGUGGAUGCCCUGGCAGUCAGAGGCGAUGAAGGGCGUGCUAAUCUGCGAUAAGCGCCGGUAAGGUGAUAUGAACCGUUAUAACCGGCGAUACCCGAAUGGGGAAACCCAGUGUGAUUCGUCACACUAUCAUUAACUGAAUCCAUAGGUUAAUGAGGCGAACCGGGGGAACUGAAACAUCUAAGUACCCCGAGGAAAAGAAAUCAACCGAGAUUCCCCCAGUAGCGGCGAGCGAACGGGGAGGAGCCCAGAGCCUGAAUCAGCAUGUGUGUUAGUGGAAGCGUCUGGAAAGGCGCGCGAUACAGGGUGACAGCCCCGUACACAAAAGCGCAUGUGCUGUGAGCUCGAUGAGUAGGGCGGGACACGUGGUAUCCUGUCUGAAUAUGGGGGGACCAUCCUCCAAGGCUAAAUACUCCUGACUGACCGAUAGUGAACCAGUACCGUGAGGGAAAGGCGAAAAGAACCCCGGCGAGGGGAGUGAAAAAGAACCUGAAACCGUGUACGUACAAGCAGUGGGAGCCCCACCACUAAGCCAGUGGUGAACUCCACAUCCGCAUCCUUUGCUGAGGAUACGGUUAACGGAGCGAAAGCGACGUUCAACCGCAAAACAAGCAGAGGGGGCUUAGUGGUGGGGUGACUGCGUACCUUUUGUAUAAUGGGUCAGCGACUUAUAUUCUGUAGCAAGGUUAACCGAAUAGGGGAGCCGGAGGGAAACCGAGUCUUAAUUGGGCGUUAAGUUGCAGGGUAUAGACCCGAAACCCGGUGAUCUAGCCAUGGGCAGGUUGAAGGUUGGGUAACACUAACUGGAGGACCGAACCGACUAAUGUUGAAAAAUUAGCGGAUGACCUGUGGCUGGGGGUGAAAGGCCAAUCAAACCGGGAGAUAGCUGGUUCUCCCCGAAAGCUAUUUAGGUAGCGCCUCGUGAAUUCAUCUCCGGGGGUAGAGCACUGUUUCGGCUAGGGGGCCAUCCCGGCUUACCAACCCGAUGCAAACUGCGAAUACCGGAGAAUGUUAUCACGGGAGACACACGGCGGGUGCUAACGUCCGUCGUGAAGAGGGAAACAACCCAGACCGCCAGCUAAGGUCCCAAAGUCAUGGUUAAGUGGGAAACGAUGUGGGAAGGCCCAGACAGCCAGGAUGUUGGCUUAGAAGCAGCCAUCAUUUAAAGAAAGCGUAAUAGCUCACUGGUCGAGUCGGCCUGCGCGGAAGAUGUAACGGGGCUAAACCAUGCACCGAAGCUGCGGCAGCGACGCUGAUGCGUUGUUGGGUAGGGGAGCGUUCUGUAAGCCUGUGAAGGUGUGUCGUGAGGCAUGCUGGAGGUAUCAGAAGUGCGAAUGCUGACAUAAGUAACGAUAAAGCGGGUGAAAAGCCCGCUCGCCGGAAGACCAAGGGUUCCUGUCCAACGUUAAUCGGGGCAGGGUGAGUCGACCCCUAAGGCGAGGCCGAAAGGCGUAGUCGAUGGGAAACGGGUUAAUAUUCCCGUACUUGGUGUUACUGCGAAGGGGGGACGGAGAAGGCUAUGUUGGCCGGGCGACGGUUGUCCCGGUUUAAGCGUGUAGGUGUGUGUUCCAGGUAAAUCCGGUUCACUUUAACACUGAGGCGUGACGACGAGGCACUACGGUGCUGAAGCAACAAAUGCCCUGCUUCCAGGAAAAGCCUCUAAGCAUCAGGUAACACGAAAUCGUACCCCAAACCGACACAGGUGGUCAGGUAGAGAAUACCAAGGCGCUUGAGAGAACUCGGGUGAAGGAACUAGGCAAAAUGGUGCCGUAACUUCGGGAGAAGGCACGCUGACACGUAGGUGAAGUGAUUUACUCAUGGAGCUGAAGUCAGUCGAAGAUACCAGCUGGCUGCAACUGUUUAUUAAAAACACAGCACUGUGCAAACACGAAAGUGGACGUAUACGGUGUGACGCCUGCCCGGUGCCGGAAGGUUAAUUGAUGGGGUCAGCGCAAGCGAAGCUCCUGAUCGAAGCCCCGGUAAACGGCGGCCGUAACUAUAACGGUCCUAAGGUAGCGAAAUUCCUUGUCGGGUAAGUUCCGACCUGCACGAAUGGCGUAAUGAUGGCCAGGCUGUCUCCACCCGAGACUCAGUGAAAUUGAACUCGCUGUGAAGAUGCAGUGUACCCGCGGCAAGACGGAAAGACCCCGUGAACCUUUACUAUAGCUUGACACUGAACAUUGAGCCUUGAUGUGUAGGAUAGGUGGGAGGCUUUGAAGUGUGGACGCCAGUCUGCAUGGAGCCGACCUUGAAAUACCACCCUUUAAUGUUUGAUGUUCUAACGUGGACCCGUAAUCCGGGUUGCGGACAGUGUCUGGUGGGUAGUUUGACUGGGGCGGUCUCCUCCUAAAGAGUAACGGAGGAGCACGAAGGUUGGCUAAUCCUGGUCGGACAUCAGGAGGUUAGUGCAAUGGCAUAAGCCAGCUUGACUGCGAGCGUGACGGCGCGAGCAGGUGCGAAAGCAGGUCAUAGUGAUCCGGUGGUUCUGAAUGGAAGGGCCAUCGCUCAACGGAUAAAAGGUACUCCGGGGAUAACAGGCUGAUACCGCCCAAGAGUUCAUAUCGACGGCGGUGUUUGGCACCUCGAUGUCGGCUCAUCACAUCCUGGGGCUGAAGUAGGUCCCAAGGGUAUGGCUGUUCGCCAUUUAAAGUGGUACGCGAGCUGGGUUUAGAACGUCGUGAGACAGUUCGGUCCCUAUCUGCCGUGGGCGCUGGAGAACUGAGGGGGGCUGCUCCUAGUACGAGAGGACCGGAGUGGACGCAUCACUGGUGUUCGGGUUGUCAUGCCAAUGGCACUGCCCGGUAGCUAAAUGCGGAAGAGAUAAGUGCUGAAAGCAUCUAAGCACGAAACUUGCCCCGAGAUGAGUUCUCCCUGAGACUUAGAGUCUCCUGAAGGAACGUUGAAGACGACGACGUUGAUAGGCCGGGUGUGUAAGCGCAGCGAUGCGUUGAGCUAACCGGUACUAAUGAACCGUGAGGCUUAACCUU
rnacentral:rRNA from 3 species